GUCCUGGAAAAUAAAAGACCUCGGCUUUGAAUAAUGACCGAAAAAAGGAUUGGGAUCUUGAUAACCGCGAAAGAACGCGUCGAGGAGUUACGGAAUUAGCGUGACCAAAGGGCUGCUCGUUUAACCUGUUAACUGAAGACGAAUUAACUUGUUCGAGUGGAAAACGUGUGGAACUUAGUAAUGCAAUUACUGAAAGAUUUUUAUCGCUGAUAUUCUAUAAAUAUUACAGAAGUAAUGAAAAAUGAUGCGAAAAUAUCUUUUCCAGUAUUUCAAUAUUUAAUGAAAAAAAGGGCAUGAGUUACAGUUCCUGAUUUGACCGUUUCAGUAUUCUAAGUUCAAAUUAUAUUUUCUUAUCACAUUUGUCCAAAUUACACAAGUCAUUAUAAUCUUAUAAAAUAAAUUAUUGUUUUAUUUAUACAGGAAACUGAUUUGUGUUCAUGAAAGAGUGUUAUUAAGAAUGAUCUAAUGAAUUAUACAGAAAAAAUUUAAUCUGAUCACGGAUCUUUACACAGGAGAAAUUGUUAUUAUAUUGUUGGCCACUGGUGGUGACUUCGUUCAUAUUGUCUGCCGGUGUUCACGAUAAUUCCCACAUUUAACGUCUCUUUUUCGUACGGGACAGGUUUUCGAAUAAACGUGCUGGGCGAUGUGAUGCGACAACGAUCGUCCACGUUGUCGUUUUGCAUCGCGAUCCUGCGUGCUACGUGUGUGUUUUUCCCCCUUUGUUUUAUAAUCGGAGAUAGAGAAUUCUUGACGGGAGGUCCAGGCAACCCUACGUCAUACUUGCUCGCUUCUUGGAACGGGAAUGUGCCUACUAUCUUUUUUCCUCUCUUUAUCGAUUAUAGCGUGAUAAAAGUGGCGCGAGAUGCUUGUCCCAUCUGUCAUUGAGCGUUAAAAUACAAGUUUCUCCUGAAUAUAAGAUGGACGAUUCAUCUUCAUGUUCAACGGUAAAUUGGAUCAUUUAUGUCAUUUUUGUGAUUUAAAUUUAUUAUGGGACACCUGUUAAAGUCACCGGUAUGUUAUGAAACCGUUGAUUGUAUGAAAUAUUUGAUAAAAAUUCAGAGGAAUGUCAAAUGUCGCCCUAGAUUGCCUACGAAGGGUCAAUUAUACUGAUACGCUGAAAAUAUUUUCGCGAAGUGUAAGGUUACUGGUAAUGAAAGUAUCCCGCGAGAAGCUAAUAUUAUUUUUGACUAUGAUAAUCAGGCUAAGGAGAGACAGGGGUAGCAACCUAAUUUCGCACCACCUGCACUUA